CACGGUGGAUGCCCUGGCAGUCAGAGGCGAUGAAGGACGUGCUAAUCUGCGAUAAGCGUCGGUAAGGUGAUAUGAACCGUUAUAACCGGCGAUUUCCGAAUGGGGAAACCCAGUGUGUUUCGACACACUAUCAUUAACUGAAUCCAUAGGUUAAUGAGGCGAACCGGGGGAACUGAAACAUCUAAGUACCCCGAGGAAAAGAAAUCAACCGAGAUUCCCCCAGUAGCGGCGAGCGAACGGGGAGGAGCCCAGAGCCUGAAUCAGUGUGUGUGUUAGUGGAAGCGUCUGGAAAGGCGCGCGAUACAGGGUGACAGCCCCGUACACAAAAAUGCACAUACUGUGAGCUCGAUGAGUAGGGCGGGACACGUGGUAUCCUGUCUGAAUAUGGGGGGACCAUCCUCCAAGGCUAAAUACUCCUGACUGACCGAUAGUGAACCAGUACCGUGAGGGAAAGGCGAAAAGAACCCCGGCGAGGGGAGUGAAAAAGAACCUGAAACCGUGUACGUACAAGCAGUGGGAGCCUCUUAAUGGGGUGACUGCGUACCUUUUGUAUAAUGGGUCAGCGACUUAUAUUCUGUAGCAAGGUUAACCGAAUAGGGGAGCCGAAGGGAAACCGAGUCUUAACUGGGCGUUAAGUUGCAGGGUAUAGACCCGAAACCCGGUGAUCUAGCCAUGGGCAGGUUGAAGGUUGGGUAACACUAACUGGAGGACCGAACCGACUAAUGUUGAAAAAUUAGCGGAUGACUUGUGGCUGGGGGUGAAAGGCCAAUCAAACCGGGAGAUAGCUGGUUCUCCCCGAAAGCUAUUUAGGUAGCGCCUCGUGAAUUCAUCUCCGGGGGUAGAGCACUGUUUCGGCAAGGGGGUCAUCCCGACUUACCAACCCGAUGCAAACUGCGAAUACCGGAGAAUGUUAUCACGGGAGACACACGGCGGGUGCUAACGUCCGUCGUGAAGAGGGAAACAACCCAGACCGCCAGCUAAGGUCCCAAAGUCAUGGUUAAGUGGGAAACGAUGUGGGAAGGCCCAGACAGCCAGGAUGUUGGCUUAGAAGCAGCCAUCAUUUAAAGAAAGCGUAAUAGCUCACUGGUCGAGUCGGCCUGCGCGGAAGAUGUAACGGGGCUAAACCAUGCACCGAAGCUGCGGCAGCGUUCUGUAAGCCUGUGAAGGUGUACUGUGAGGUAUGCUGGAGGUAUCAGAAGUGCGAAUGCUGACAUAAGUAACGAUAAAGCGGGUGAAAAGCCCGCUCGCCGGAAGACCAAGGGUUCCUGUCCAACGUUAAUCGGGGCAGGGUGAGUCGACCCCUAAGGCGAGGCCGAAAGGCGUAGUCGAUGGGAAACAGGUUAAUAUUCCUGUACUUGGUGUUACUGCGAAGGGGGGACGGAGAAGGCUAUGUUGGCCGGGCGACGGUUGUCCCGGUUUAAGCGUGUAGGCUGGUUUUCCAGGCAAAUCCGGAAAAUCAAGGCUGAGGCGUGAUGACGAGGCACUACGGUGCUGAAGCAACAAAUGCCCUGCUUCCAGGAAAAGCCUCUAAGCAUCAGGUAACAUCAAAUCGUACCCCAAACCGACACAGGUGGUCAGGUAGAGAAUACCAAGGCGCUUGAGAGAACUCGGGUGAAGGAACUAGGCAAAAUGGUGCCGUAACUUCGGGAGAAGGCACGCUGAUAUGUAGGUGAAGUCCCUCGCGGAUGGAGCUGAAAUCAGUCGAAGAUACCAGCUGGCUGCAACUGUUUAUUAAAAACACAGCACUGUGCAAACACGAAAGUGGACGUAUACGGUGUGACGCCUGCCCGGUGCCGGAAGGUUAAUUGAUGGGGUUAGCGGUAACGCGAAGCUCUUGAUCGAAGCCCCGGUAAACGGCGGCCGUAACUAUAACGGUCCUAAGGUAGCGAAAUUCCUUGUCGGGUAAGUUCCGACCUGCACGAAUGGCGUAAUGAUGGCCAGGCUGUCUCCACCCGAGACUCAGUGAAAUUGAACUCGCUGUGAAGAUGCAGUGUACCCGCGGCAAGACGGAAAGACCCCGUGAACCUUUACUAUAGCUUGACACUGAACAUUGAGCCUUGAUGUGUAGGAUAGGUGGGAGGCUUUGAAGUGUGGACGCCAGUCUGCAUGGAGCCGGCCUUGAAAUACCACCCUUUAAUGUUUGAUGUUCUAACGUUGGCCCCUUACCGGGGUUGCGGACAGUGUCUGGUGGGUAGUUUGACUGGGGCGGUCUCCUCCUAAAGAGUAACGGAGGAGCACGAAGGUUGGCUAAUCCUGGUCGGACAUCAGGAGGUUAGUGCAAUGGCAUAAGCCAGCUUGACUGCGAGCGUGACGGCGCGAGCAGGUGCGAAAGCAGGUCAUAGUGAUCCGGUGGUUCUGAAUGGAAGGGCCAUCGCUCAACGGAUAAAAGGUACUCCGGGGAUAACAGGCUGAUACCGCCCAAGAGUUCAUAUCGACGGCGGUGUUUGGCACCUCGAUGUCGGCUCAUCACAUCCUGGGGCUGAAGUAGGUCCCAAGGGUAUGGCUGUUCGCCAUUUAAAGUGGUACGCGAGCUGGGUUUAGAACGUCGUGAGACAGUUCGGUCCCUAUCUGCCGUGGGCGCUGGAGAACUGAGGGGGGCUGCUCCUAGUACGAGAGGACCGGAGUGGACGCAUCACUGGUGUUCGGGUUGUCAUGCCAAUGGCACUGCCCGGUAGCUAAAUGCGGAAGAGAUAAGUGCUGAAAGCAUCUAAGCACGAAACUUGCCCCGAGAUGAGUUCUCCCUGACUCUUUAAGGGUCCUGAAGGAACGUUGAAGACGACGACGUUGAUAGGCCGGGUGUGUAAGCGCAGCGAUGCGUUGAGCUAACCGGUACUAAUGAACCGUGAGGCUUAACCUU
rnacentral:rRNA from 1 species